AACUAACGCUGGCGGCGUGCCUAACACAUGCAAGUCGUACGAGAAAGCCGGCUUCGGCUGGUGAGUAAAGUGGCGCACGGGUGAGUAACGCGUGGAUAAUCUGCCCUUAAGUGUGGAAUAACGUACCGAAAGGUGCGCUAAUACCGCAUAAUGCCUGGCAACACAAGUUGUCCGGCCAAAGAAGGCCUCUGUUUACAAGCUUUCGCUUCAGGAUGAGUCCGCGUACCAUUAGCUUGUUGGUGGGGUAAUGGCCUACCAAGGCUGCGAUGGUUAGCUGGUCUGAGAGGAUGAUCAGCCACACUGGAACUGAGACACGGUCCAGACUCCUACGGGAGGCAGCAGUGAGGAAUAUUGCGCAAUGGGGGCAACCCUGACGCAGCAACGCCGCGUGAGUGAGGAAGGCCUUCGGGUCGUAAAGCUCUGUCAGAUGGGAGAAAUGGAUGGGGGCGUAAUAUCGCCAUCCUUGACGGUACCAUCAGAGG
rnacentral:rRNA from 1 species